rnacentral:misc_RNA from 1 species
AACUGAUACUACCUGCGGGAACCUGCGGAAGGAUCAUUAAAAAAAUGAAGCCGGCCAAAAGGUCGGCAUCAUAAUCCUUUAAUACCUAUGUGCACUUAUUGAACCUUUUUGCUUUGGCAGGAGAAAUCCUGCCAGAGGUAUCCCAUCAAAACCUGAAUGUUUUGACUGACCUUUAUUUCAAAUAAAAUUUUGAAUACAACUUUCAACAACGGAUCUCU